GACGGAGGAUGCAAGUGUUAUCCGGAAUCACUGGGCGUAAAGCGUCUGUAGGUGGUUUAAUAAGUCAACUGUUAAAUCUUGAGGCUCAACCUCAAAAUCGCAGUCGAAACUAUUAGGCUAGAGUAUAGUAGGGGUAAAGGGAAUUUCCAGUGGAGCGGUGAAAUGCGUAGAGAUUGGAGAGAACACCGAUGGCGAAGGCACUUUUACUGGGCUAU
rnacentral:rRNA from 1 species